rnacentral:rRNA from 1 species
GAUGAACGCUGGCGGCGUGCCUAAUACAUGCAAGUCGAGCGAACAGACGAGGAGCUUGCUCCUCUGACGUUAGCGGCGGACGGGUGAGUAACACGUGGAUAACCUACCUAUAAUACUGGGAUAACUUCGGAAAACCGGAGCUAAUACCGGAUAAUAUAUUGAACCGCGUGGGUCAAUAGUGAAAGACGGUUUUGCUGGCACUUCUAGAUGGAUCCGCGCCGCAUUAGCUAGUUGGUACGGUAACAGCCUACCAAGGCAACCAUGCGUGGCCGACCUGAGAGGGUGAUCGGCCACACUGGAACGGAGACACGGUCAAGACGACUACGGGAGGCAGCAGUAGCGAAUCUUAGGCAAUGGGGGAAAGCAUGACGGAGCAACGCCGCGUGAGAGAUGAAGGUCUUCGGAUCGGAAAACUCUGUUAUUAGGGAAGAACCAAUGUGUAAGUAACUAUGCACGUCUUGACGGUACCGAAUCAAAAAGCCACGGCUAACUACGUG